rnacentral:misc_RNA from 1 species
AUAAUGCCAACAUCACAAGACUGAUCUGAUUCACCCCGAGAAAAGAUAUCCAGAGCUAGAUUCCCCACAAACUCGCUAAUGCACAGAAAUCACGCUUGACAUGUGAGUCUAUGUGAAUCCAUUUGAAGAGGACCACCGAGGUACUUGUACUUGUUGUACUCGCAGUGAGAUGGAUAACGCACGCAAGCAACAAGACAUACACAGAGUAUCUCAAGAUCUGGUUGCAAUGGCAUCUCAAUAACUGCACUACUUGCACUAUCUCUACGACACAAACACUAGGCAAUACCCACUAUUCGAGAUACCUCCUCAUAAAUAUUCUUGGUGGGAAGCAACGUCGUCUCCGGUGGCGUGGUGGGUGUCAUGACAGUGUAGAUCAAUACAACCAAUGUCCCAGGAUUCUUUCGGUGGGUACGAACACUUUGGGAAACCGGCGGCGUGACCAUCGAAAGUUCGAGAGAGAGAGAGAGAGAGAGAUGUCAGAUGGAGAAAGCCGGAGUUCAAUAGUUGGGGGUAAGCUGUAGGCACCAUCUGAUAGUUGAGGUUAAUGCUACCAAAAAGGGGCUUGGAGGGGACAAUUGAGAUCCGAGUAGUCAUUCCAGAAUGCUUAAAGGGAGUGGCGACACUUUUGUGAAAUUCUGAAUGCAUCUUGCGACGUGAAUAGUUCACCGAAGUAAAACAGUGAUAGUUGUUAAUG